UACGGGGGGGGGUAAGCGUUGUUCGGAAUUACUGGGCGUAAAGGGCUCGUAGGCGGCCAACUAAGUCAGACGUGAAAUCCCUCAGCUUAACUGGGGAACUGCGUCUGAUACUGGAUGGCUUGGAUUCGGGAGAGGAAUGCGGAAUUCCAGGUGUAGCGGUGAAAUGCGUAGAUAUCUGGAGGAACACCGGUGGCGAAGGCGGCAUUCUGGACCGAUAUUGACGCUGAGGAGCGAAAGCCAGGGGAGCAAACGGG
rnacentral:rRNA from 1 species